rnacentral:rRNA from 1 species
AUUGAACGCUGGCGGCAGGCCUAACACAUGCCAGUCGAACGGUAACAGGAAACAGCUUGCUGUUUCGCUGACGAGUGGCGGACGGGUGAGUAAUGUCUGGGGAACUGCCUGAUGGAGGGGGAUAACUACUGGAAACGGUAGCUAAUACCGCAUAACGUCGCAAGACCAAAGAGGGGGACCUUCGGGCCUCUUGCCAUCGGAUGUGCCCAGAUGGGAUUAGCUAGUAGGUGGGGUAACGGCUCACCUAGGCGACGAUCCCUAGCUGGUCUGAGAGGAUGACCAGCCACACUGGAACUGAGACACGGUCCAGACUCCUACGGGAGGCAGCAGUGGGGAAUAUUGCACAAUGGGCGCAAGCCUGAUGCAGCCAUGCCGCGUGUAUGAAGAAGGCCUUCGGGUUGUAAAGUACUUUCAGCGGGGAGGAAGGGAGUAAAGUUAAUACCUUUACUCAUUGACGUUACCCGCAGAAGAAGCACCGGCUAACUCCGUG